rnacentral:rRNA from 1 species
UGAACGCUAGCGGCAGGCCUAACACAUGCAAGUCGAGGGGUAGCAGGAUUAAGCUUUGCUUAAUUGCUGACGACCGGCGCACGGGUGCGUAACGCGUAUGCAACCUACCUUAUACUGGGGGUAUAGCCCGGAGAAAUUCGGAUUAAUCCCCCAUAGUACUGUUUAAUCGCAUGGUUGAACAGUUAAAGCAUUGCGGUAUAAGAUGGGCAUGCGUCCUAUUAGCUAGAUGGUGAGGUAACGGCUCACCAUGGCUACGAUAGGUAGGGGGCCUGAGAGGGUGGUCCCCCACACUGGUACUGAGACACGGACCAGACUCCUACGGGAGGCAGCAGUGAGGAAUAUUGGUCAAUGGGCGCAAGCCUGAACCAGCCAUGCCGCGUGCAGGAAGAAUGCCCUAUGGGUUGUAAACUGCUUUUAUUUGGGAAUAAACCUCUUUACGUGUAGAGAGCUGAAGGUACCAAAUGAAUAAGCACCGGCUAACUCCGUG